rnacentral:lncRNA from 1 species
GCCGACCACAACACGUUCUCGGUGCGAAUACGCAGAAGCUUUCCUCCUUUUCGCUAUCUCCUGAGCCUCGAGUUUUAACCGAUCCAGAAGCUCGUCUCUUCCGUAUACUUUAACGGAAGGAUCAUCUGUGUUGUGUGAGGUUUCAGGUGAUGUCGUCCACUUUUCUUUUAAGGGUUUGCCUUCUAAGGUAGCAGUAGCAGCUUUGGCUGACCAGAAGACGAAUAAAAUGUUGUUGCGGGUGAAGUAGUCCGCCCACUUCUCCCUGUGUUAACAAUCCAAAUUGGUUAGCCAAAAUAAAAAGAGGUUAGAGAAAAAGAGGCAAGGGGCAAGUUUACCUGACGUAAGGAGGUAAGAGAUCCGCCUUGUUUACAAGAAGCAUUGUUUCUUUAUGCUCAUCAAUUUCUCGUGCAUAUGCCUGUAAAUGAUUGGUGGAUCAAUGAAAACUCUAUUAAGAGAAAGCUGCAAGUUGGCAGAGAGAGAGAGAGAGAGAGAGAGAGUUACCUCAAGAUCAGGGCAACGGUAAAACAGAGGAUCUCUAGCAUCAACAACCAUAACAAUCUGAAAGAGAAGUAAAAAAAGAGCCAAUUAUAUUCCGAAAUGAACUUAACCCAUUCAAAUGGGCUCUAGGAGGCGAAAAUGGCAUACCAAAUCACUUCGUUCAAGAACUCGCCAAAGUUGUCUCCAUAUGUCAAGGUUCUUCUCGAAUGGUGUCAGCACAAGCUUUUCAUUUUCCUCGAGGCUGAUUGAAUGCAGGAAAACAAAUAGGUAUGCUUUAAGUGUAUAUCACCAUGUCCCCAAGGAGAAUUGCACAUAAUAAAAUCAAACCACGCAUCUAAAACAGCAGCAAAAUAACAUCUUGAAUGAGCUAUAACUGUUUUGUUACUCUAUUCCAAAAUAUUGAACUUACAAAUGCAUUCCCAAAGAAGUUCAGAUUCUCAAAGGCUAUUUAGAGAUAAGAACACAAACUCAUAGCAUAAGAGCCAAAUUUAUCCACAAUAAUAACAAACAAACAAAAAAAAUCAUUCUCAACUAAAGCAAUCAUGGUUAUAGCGAUGGCUAAAAGAUUGCAGUUUUGUAUCUCAUUUGUAUACACUGAUGCAAGUAUGAAUUCUUCACAACUUUCUCAUCCUUUUAACCAUUCGUUUUCUUAAUACACAAACAUUGUAGCAAAGCAUUUGAACACUUUGCAUAUGAUUAAUCCCAAAUUCUACUAACAACAACAACAACGAAGAAGAAGAAGAAGAUAGAGAACCCUUUAGAUGAGGUGAAAACAGAACAAACCUGACAAGUUUGCGGCGCCAAGAGAGAAAAGCUUGUUUUUCAUUAGCAUCAAGUUGUUCCACAUUCAUUUUAGGCGUCCAAGGAGGUCUGAAUAUUAACAAAUAGAACAUCACUAAACCGAACAGACUCUAUAUUGACUCCAUAACAACAACCCAAAGAAGCAAAAGAGACCUUCUAGGAACUUGAAGACUACUAGCAUGUAAAGCCUCCUCUCUCAUCCGCUGCUCUUUCCACUCUUUAGCCGUUACACCACUCGAGCUCGAACCUGCGUCCCUGUUUUUCACCAAAACGAAAGAAGAAGAUCAACAACAACACACUAGAGAGAAAGGAUUCAAAAUCGAUCUUACAUAUUGAUGGGGAGAGGCGUUGCGGAUUCGUGAUGAAUAGCGUAAAGACGCUCAGCUUCCUCGGCUUGCUCGAUGAUGGCGUCGAUGUCGCUGACCUCCGUGACGGAUUCGAGAACCUUCUUGUUUUGGGACUUGUAGUGUUUCCCUUUAUCCUUGGUUUCCUGGAUCGCGUGGUUGUGGUGCUUCACUAGGGAUCGGCCUAGAGAUGUCUUCUCGUUCUUCCCCAUUUUCGGAUUUUUGGCGGAGAUUGGAGGAAAGAUUGAUUGAACGAUCUUUUUGUGUGUUUCUCGAAAGAGAUAUUUCAAUGUUCGUAAAGGCUCGUCGUGUGAAGCCGACGGAUGUAGCCGCCGUGUGGGGCGAAAUUUAAUAAAAAAAGUAAAAUGUAGGGUUCGAAGGGUAAUUACUCAAUACUGCAAACGGUUUACUUACCCUUGUUGUUCGGGUUUAUUUCAAUUGUCCGGUUUAAUCAUCUCGUUUUGCAAUUCCGGUCUGUUUGAUUGGAGCAGUGCAAUGUGUUUGUGGUGCUUCACUAGGGUCUCUUCAUCUCUUUCUCUCUAUCAUCAUUAUCUUUAUUUCUUUUAAGCCAUCUAAUUAAUUUUUGGUUUAUCCAUCUUUGAAAACUUCGGUGAGUUUUUAGAUCGGUUUAAAUCGUCCUUAGAGUUGCUGCUAUUUCAGUCUCAGAACAUAGACAUGUUUGUGUCUUACAAUUGUCCCGUGGGAUUGUGGCUCAUGCUAUGCAUAUUUUUAUGAUUUUAGAGAAUAGAGUAGGUAUUGAGAGAUUAAAGGUAGAUUAGAGAAGGUUAAUGGGAGAUUUGUAGACAGAUUAGGUAGUAAUUAUGUUUAAGAGUAUUUAAGAAUCAUCAUGAACAAGAGAGUUUAAAGAGAUAAUCUCAUAAUUCUUAAUUAUUAAUCUGAUCAGAGUUUACAAUAUAUAUGAAGAGGCAACAAUAGGAUGAGGGUUUCAUAAAGUAGCACUAUUACCAAAGAUAAGAUUUGCUUUAAUUCAAACUUUUCAAUGAGCUUCUUCCUUGUGCAUAAAGCUCCUUUUGCUUUAUCCAGCUCUUCUCCAGCCUGUCACACGCGCCUCCUCUUCCCUUGCAACGGACUGAUGCCUUAGCUAAGGGAAUAGGGCUUCUCUUCUUCUUCUUCCAAAGUUACCCGGGUAACUAGUAUAACUAGUAUACUAGUAAGUUACUCGGGUAACUAGUAUUACUACGGCCUCUUCAUCAUACCCAACUCCUCAUGUCUUUCUCUUCCUAUAUAUUGAUCUCAUCUCAACACUCCCCCCCCCAAGCUCAGCUUUGUGAAAGUCUAAGCUUGGAUAGCCAUGAGAUCUUCCUCAUUAAAAACCUCACCAAGGAAAACCCAUUGGGACAAAACCUUGAUGAGGGAAAAAGAGUAAAGACCUCAUGACUUAGGGGAUCAGCUCCUUCUCUUCCCAAGAUCUAUGAGUUCUAAUCUGAUGUGAAUGGACUCCAUAGUCUUUUGUCUUGCAUGCUAAUUCCCUAAAACACGUGUUGGCUUCCUCUACGUGGUAAGUUUUGUGGCUCAUUAAAAUACCUACCAUGCUAAAAAUGACGAUACAUAAACUUAGGGAAGUAACUAAAUUUCUCCAAAGUCCAAAGCUAUGAAAAUAGAGGUGAAAAUGCAAACAUUAAGAUCGUGAUCUUGCUUGAAAAAGACAAGAAACCUUGCAUGUGCACAUUGAUCAAUCAAUGCACGAGUAAUGCUGAAGGAUGAAAAGGUCAAAAGGUUUAGAAGAUCAACACCUAAGAAACACACAUUCGGUUGGUUGACAACGUUUAUAAACGAAACUAGUCAAAGCUGCUAUGCGUACGAGUAAGCGAUCUAUAUAUAUAUUAGCGAUCUAUAUUAUGUCAAUCGCACAAAGACUUUGUGACCAGCAUCGACCUGGAAAAGUCUCGAUAAUUUCACAAGGACACAACAUAUAACACUUCCACAAUAAGAAUCCAACACUGUUAUUUUCAGGCAUUUUUGAUCAAUACAUUGAAACCGAUUAGUUUUUCCUCAGUGGCUGCUUCUUGUGCUGUUUAUGCGAGUCUACUUGUUUCUUCUUGGAAGACCCAAGCCCAUUUGCAAGAUCAAACGAGCUCAAAUCCUCUAAAACUUGAUCAAGCCCAAGCCCACGAGCUUCUUCACUAACCUCAGACACUGAACCACCAUCUCCAGUUUCGCCCGUCUCGUUUUCAUCAUCUUCGGGAGGCAUUGCAAAAUGUGGAAGCUUACCUUCAAUGUAGUCUUUCAAAAUCUGCCUAGCAGCUCUCGUCUCAUCAGGCAGUCCACUAGCGGCAACGUACCCACGAGACAGGCAGUAAGUUCUAAGAAGCUCCGAGGCAAGAGGUGGACGGAACCGAGACUCAUAGCUUUUGGGUUUAGGCAAAGAGAUGUUGUACACUCCCUCGAUAACAUCUCGAGGAACACGUUCAGCCACAACCUUAACAGCUUCGCGGUGCUCCGUCAUCCUGUCUAUCGGAAGCACUCCGCAAGCGAUCAUUUCGUAUCUCGAACUCGAGAACGAAGGGAAGACCAGACCGGGGCAAUCGCAGAGCAUCAGCUCCUCGGAGAUGAUCAAUGUCUGGAAGUGCUUUGUCUUCCCUGGGGUGGAUGUGACGCCUGUCCGCUUCUGACCCACCAGUGCAUUGAUCGUUGAACUCUUCCCCACGUUAGGGUACCCAACGAAGCCGACCACAACACGUUCUCGGUGCGAAUACGCAGAAGCUUUCCUCCUUUUCGCUAUCUCCUGAGCCUCGAGUUUUAACCGAUCCAGAAGCUCGUCUCUUCCGUAUACUUUAACGGAAGGAUCAUCUGUGUUGUGUGAGGUUUCAGGUGAUGUCGUCCACUUUUCUUUUAAGGGUUUGCCUUCUAAGGUAGCAGUAGCAGCUUUGGCUGACCAGAAGACGAAUAAAAUGUUGUUGCGGGUGAAGUAGUCCGCCCACUUCUCCCUGUGUUAACAAUCCA